rnacentral:rRNA from 1 species
UACGGACCGUCCAAACGUUAUUCGGAAUUACUGGGCUUAAAGGGUGCGUAGGCGGUCCGGGAAGUUGGGUGUGAAAUACCUCGGCUCAACCGAGGAACUGCGCCCAAAACUGCCGGGCUUGAGGGAGACAUAGGUGUGCGGAACUUAGGGUGGAGCGGUGAAAUGCGUUGAGAUCCUAGGGAACACCAGUAGCGAAAGCGGCACACUGGGUCUUUUCUGACGCUGAUGCACGAAAGCCAGGGGAGCGAAGAGG